GGGACAUAAGUCCUUACCAAACCGUUGCAAACUCCGAAUACCCUGAAGUUCAAUCGCGGGAGACACACGGUGGGAGCUAAAUUUCAUCGUGAAGAGGGAAACAACCCAGACCGCCAGCUAAGGUCCCUAAAUCAUCGCUAAGUGGUAAACGAUGUGGAAAGUCAUAGACAGCCAGGAUGUUGGCUUAGAAGCAGCCAUCAUUUAAAGAAAGCGUAAUAGCUCACUAGUCGAGUCGGCCUGCGCGGAAGAUGUAACGGGGCUAAGCCAGUCACCGAAGCUGCGGAUAUCCUUUAUUGGAUAUGGUAGGAGAGCGUUCUGUAAGCCUGCGAAGGUGUCUUGUAAAGGAUGCUGGAGGUAUCAGAAGUGCGAAUGCUGACAUGAGUAACGAUAAUGCAGGUGAAAAACCUGCACGCCGUAAGCCCAAGGUUUCCUGUUCAACGUUCAUCGGAGCAGGGUGAGUCGGCCCCUAAGGCGAGGCAGAGAUGCGUAGCUGAUGGGAAGCAGGUUAAUAUUCCUGCACCGUCGUAUGAUGCGAUGGGGGGACGGAUCGCGGAAGGUUGUCUGACUGUUGGAAUAGUCAGUUUC
rnacentral:rRNA from 1 species